CAAGUAGGCGGCUUAGAAAGUGAGGGGUGAAAUCUUCCGACUCAAUCGGAAAACUGCCUUUCAAACUUCUGAGCUUGAAGCAUAAAGAGGUAAGCGGAAUCCUUGGUGUAAGGGUGAAAUCUGUAGAUAUCAAGAAGAACACCGGCGGCGAAGGCGGCUUACUGGUUAUGUCCUGACGCUAAAUUGCGAAAGCUAGGGGAGCAAACAGGAUUAGAUACCCUGGUAGUCC
rnacentral:rRNA from 1 species